AUACUUACCUGGACGGGACUAACAGGCGAUCAAGAAGGCCGGUUGUCUAGGUCAGUGGCCCUCAUUGCACUCUGAGGGCGCGUUGGCUUACUAUCUCCCUAACUGGGAGAGUGGACGUCGUAAUUUGUGGGAGAUGGGGUACGCGUUCGCGCGACCCCUGC
rfam:Zea mays cultivar B73 chromosome 5, whole genome shotgun sequence.